GGGGUUGUGGCUCAGAGGUAGAGUGCUCACCUAGCAUGUGUGAGGCACUGGAUUCGAUCCUCAGCACCACA
rnacentral:tRNA from 1 species